UUGUAUAGCAUAGGAUUAGAUUAAUUAUAAAUAAAGCAGUCCUCCUCAGAGGGGGGGUGGUGGAGGGAAUAUUUAAGAAAUAAAAAUAGGGUUAGUUAACAUAAGGUUAAGAUAAGAUUGUAUAACAUAGGAUUAGAUUAAUUAUAAAUAAAGCAGUCCUCCUCAGAGGGGGGGUGGUGGAGGGAAUAUUUAAGAAAUAAAAAUAGGAUUAAUUCAGAAGGUUAAGAUAAGAUUGUAUAACAUAGGAUUAGAUUAAUUAUAAAUAAAGCAGUCCUCCUUAGAGGGGGGGUGGUGGAGGGAAUAUUUAAGAAAUAAAAAUAGGAUCAGUUAACAUAAGGUUAAGAUAAGAUUGUAUAACAUAGGAUUAGAUUAAUUAUAAAUAAAGCAGUCCUCCUCAGAGGGGGGGUGGUGGAGGGAAUAUUUAAGAAAUAAAAAUAGGGUUAGUUAACAUAAGGUUAAGAUAAGAUUGUAUAACAUAGGAUUAGAUUAAUUAUAAAUAAAGCAGUCCUCCUCAGAGGGGGGGUGGUGGAGGGAAUAUUUAAGAAAUAAAAAUAGGAUUAAUUCAGAAGGUUAAGAUAAGAUUGUAUAACAUAGGAUUAGAUUAAUUAUAAAUAAAGCAGUCCUCCUUAGAGGGGGGGUGGUGGAGGGAAUAUUUAAGAAAUAAAAAUAGGAUCAGUUAACAUAAGGUUAAGAUAAGAUUGUAUAACAUAGGGCUACAGUGAAGAAAUCAAAAAUUUCAAGGCAGCAUGAAGGUAACGCACAAUCAGGGAUGUGCAAUUUCUGAGGCAUGUAUUCAAAAAAAGUAUUUUAAUUGUGUUUUAUGAUUCAUAUUUGACUUAGUUCAUGAAAUAAAAUGUUUUUUUCUACA